rnacentral:lncRNA from 1 species
AAAUCUUUUGAACCUAGUUACUCGAUAAUUGGAUAAUAAUUACCACAUACAAACGAAAGUACUACAGUACCCAAAGCCAAAAAAUUUUGCAAACUGAACAAGGCCUAAUACGUAUAUGGUAUAUCCUCUCUCUCUUUCUUUGGCUCGCUAUUCUUCCGUGCAAACGUAGCGUUGCACUAUUCAGUAUUUGUGGCUACGAAAAUUUAUUCGCGAACCCAUA